rnacentral:rRNA from 1 species
AUGGAGUAUCAAAUCUUUCUCAAAGGGCUUGUAGACAAAACCACCGCCCUUGAGGUUGCCUGCUCGGAUACCGUCAGAAGUGUCAAGGAGAUGAUCCGGGACCGGCAGGACAUUCCCGUGGAUGAGCAGAGGCUGAUCUAUGCAGGGCAACAGCUUGAAGAUGGUCGCACCAUGGAUGACUAUGGCAUCAAGAAGGAAUCUACACUUCACCUCUUGCUCCGCCUCCGAUCAUGCGGUCCUAAUAAUUGCCCAAGAGUACCUAUCCCAACAGUGGUAACCUAG